GAAUAUUGCGCAAUGGGCGGAAGCCUGACGCAGAGACGCCGCGUGAGCGAAGAAGGCCUUCGGGUCGUAAAGCUCUGUCCUUGGGGAAGAAGGCGAAAGCUUGACGGUACACAAGAAGAAAGCCCCGGCAAACUAAGUGCCAGCAGCCGCGGUAAUACGAAGGGGGCGAGCGUUGGCCGGAAUUACUGGGCGUAAAGGGUGCGUAGGCGGCCCUUUAAGUCAGAUGUGAAAGGCUGCGGCUUAACCGCAGAACUGCAUUUGAAACUGGAGGGCUUGAGUGUCGGAGAGGGUAGUUGAAUUCCCAGUGUAGCGGUGAAAUGCGUAGAUAUUGGGAGGAACACCAGUGGCGAAGGCGACUACCUGGACGAUAACUGACGCUGAGGCACGAAAGCUAGGGGAGCAAACA
rnacentral:rRNA from 1 species